UAUAAUAUAGAAGGGCAUCAAACAUUGAAUUUCAUCACAUUAUUCUUUCCGUGCGUUGAAUCGGUUCAAUCGGUUUGCAUGUGGCACAGACCUGUUUAUCCAUAUUUAUCGAACUGAUCGAAACCGACCGACCGAGCUGAAGCUGACAGAGCAAGUCUGUCAAAGUCCGUGUUUACUUUUCGUCACGAAACAUUUUGGAUCAUUUUCAUUCCGAAAAGUUCUUUUUUUUUUGCAUUAGGUAUUGCAAUACUUAGUGCCAUAAGACUAGCCUUAAUCGAGGAAAUACUGUUGCAUAAACGAUCGAAUCGUAGACAGGACGACGUUUGAACACCGACAGCAACAAACAGCCAAAUCGCUGCUGGUUUUGGUCUGGUUCUUGGCCUACUAAUCGACGCCCCGAAGAGUCACAUCCCAGAGCACACAUCAAAUUCUAGGAUAUCAAAUUUAAUGCGGGUAACGGUUUUAAAGAAGAAAUCGCCCAGACGUUGUUUCUAUGCUACCAGCGACGUUGUACUCACGCAAGUUGAAGAAUAUCAUCCUAUCUGGAGGCGGCCACGUAAAAUGAGAUAAAUCAUAACAAAGUUGGGGCAUCCAGCCGAAGGCCCUUUCACCGAAUAGCCUGACACCAUCCAUAAUUACGACAGUUGCAUUGAUCCAAAACUGGGAAUGCAAUUCUAAAACGAGUCCGACAGCGCAACUUGAACGUGUGUACAUUUGAAUACCCAGGUCAGCAAAUCUUUCAUUUAUAAUCAAACUUGUUGUGUACUACCAUUUACUACUUCAUUUUAUUUUGAUUUCUUUUGUGAACAAUAUACAUUAUUAAUAAUAGUGAUUAACAGUAAAACGCCAUUCUUCCUUCACUCAAACACAUUAUAAAUGUAGUCGCUGUUGUACCUAGAUGGUUUCCUUAGGUUUGAACGAGUACGUAGAUGAGGACUGCUUCCAUUUGCACUUACUUCGGUAUCCGUUUGUACGAUUUGAGUGUCAGUAGGAUCUGGCCUAUAUGGCAGACUCUCGUUGGCCGGUGGUUCUCCAGUUUCCAUCUCCGUGCCAGAAGCUCUUCUGACGUCCUGUACAUUUCGUGCGUAUUGGAUUCCACUUUUGCUCACGACCACUACCUUUGGCCCCUCUCUUGCAACGACGGUAUAGCGUUCCGAUGAAAAAGUCGGAUCAGUUUUAGUUUUUCGUUGCUGGCUUAGAUGUACGACGUCUCCUACGUUGAUGUCCGACGGUUUCGCGCCUCGAGUCUUAUCUGCGUAGCACUUACUGAUAAGCUUUUCUUCCGCGUCUUUCUCUCGUAUAUCAGUGCGAUCUAAGGUAUGAUUGGAGCCCCAAAGACUAGGGAAAGUUCCUCGAAACUUCCAACCAACCAUCAAUUCAAAUGGUGUGACAUUUAACCAAGGGGUUGGAAACUCUGACACCCUUGAAUGUGUUGCAGUGUGCUGAUCGGGUGUUUGUGGGUGUUUUUGGGUGAUUCUCGGUGCUUUGACGUUUUUGACAAUUAAUAUGAUAGACGUCACAUUUUUCCCAAAUUACUGGCAACACUUUAUAAUUUUUUUCAUCGUUGAUUGUUUUGAUGUGGAUUUGAUCGAUCAACAUCGGUGGUGGGCAAUCUCAGCGGCCGUAACAAUCUCACAUCUUGCCGGAUGUAGCGGAAUUCCGGUCCCGUAUUCGGUAGAAGAAUCAGAUGAUGCUCAAGACUCCUACGAAAGCAACUACAUUACCCAGUUCGGAAGAAUGCGUCGCCAAAAGUUCAAAAGCAAGCGGAACCAGGAGCGGAACGCUCAAGGAAACCACAACCACACCGAAAAAGCAAUUUAGCAGAUCCGCGAACAAAUAAACUGGUUUCCGAGUCUGUCAAUGUCGAUUCUGGGAGCUUCGAAGCACACGGCAGGCGGCAAAAGGAAGUUACACUUGCCCCAUCUGAUUUAUGGUUUAUUCGUCGAAGCCUAUUCCCGCAAAGCAUGGCGCGCUGGAUAACUAACAUUCCUGAGGAAGAAUCGAAGGAGGAGAAAUCGAUGAGUUCAAAAACGUGGAGUCGAAAAUAUCCGACAAAGAAAAGAACAUUAUGUUUUCAGUGUGAUGAGGCAAAAGCGAACGUUGGUCCAGUCACUGAAGAAGAAAUCGACAAGAAAGUGGUAGUGGAUAUCAAUCGGGUGACUCGAAUAGUGAGAUUCGAGCGGAAAUUAAAGAUAAAUCUUCCGAUAGGAGAUUUCUAGUGAGAAUAAAAAAAAACGAGAAAUGAAAUUUAUUUUAUUCAAAAAAUUCAACUUUUUUUAUUUGAUUUCAUAAUGAUACGUAUACAACUUUUCAAGAUUUUACCUAACUAAUCAUUUUCGGUCACGUAACUUUCGUGGAGAUGAUCCGCCAGGAAGUAGUCGGUGGUAAGGUCCCGUGAAGUUUCCCUCAGUAAAAGUUCCGCACAAAAGAGAUUCUUCGCCACCACAGACAGCAGACACCGAUGACGUCAGCUUCGGUUACUGGUUCGGAAAAUAUGGGCUAACAUCACUGACACGUUAUCCUCCUAGAGGAAGUCAACAGUUGCUGCUUGCUGUUGCUUUCGCAGAGUCCAGAAGGGAUGAAAGCAACACCAGGGUUGCAUUAAUCGAGGCACCAAUGGAAGAAGUGUUUCCGGGAUUACUUCUCCAGUUUCCUCCAGAGGAUGAUGAAGUGGAAGUAGUUCGAUGGCGAUGAUCGGAUGGACGUAAAGCUUCUUAGCUGCAUUGCUUUCCUCGGAUGGGACGGGCGCUUUCAUUGAUUAGUGAAUUCUGCCACCGGUGGCCGUGGUUUGACUUCGGCCGUCUUGGUGCAGGACGACCUAUCCGAUGGCUGUUUUAUAGCUUAUGACGUGCUCGCAGUUUUUAUUAUUUACAUCGUCUACCUCGGUAGACUGCUGCGCUUCCGAGGCACGAUUGUCCUUCGUUUUCAGCACUCCUUCUAUCACCAUUUCCAAAUAGGUUACACAACGAUAAUUGUUUCUGUCAGGCUUUAUCCGAUUCUGCUGUUUUACCUGAAUCUUCGUUCCGCCCAAGUCGUUGCGCUGGCUCAUACAGCGGCUGAUCAGGGUCUUUCAGGAAGAUCUUUCUGAUAACUAUUUCGCCGGAGCCUAGCCCGGAGCUGAGGGAGGGUCUGGCAAUUGACAUCAUUCAUUCCGGCUUAGGUGGCGAGGGAGUAGCACUAUGUAGCACCAGCACUAAAGACUAAUCGUAGCACCUUCAACUCAUCCUUUUUCGCCAUUCGGUCCAUGGUAAUGUUGGACAGGAUUUCGGCGGUUCCAGGCUCCGGAGAAAAUGUACCUGGUCCUGCGCUGCUGCUCGUACCCGGUAGCUGCUGCCUAUUCCGUUCAGCACUGCGACGAUAAACAUUGUCUGAAAAUGUAAAUAUAAACAUCGGCAGACCAGUGACGCCAGUAAAAUAAAAUAGA